CUUUUGUGCUAGUUUUGGAGUUCUUUAUUGAAUUGUGUAUCAGUAACUUUUGUGCUUGUUUUGGAGUUCUUAAUUUUAUUUCUUUGUAAGGCCUUAUGAAUCUAGUAUUCUUUAUGGUUUUAUGACUUGAACUGUGUUGUGUUGCUCGGACUUGACUAAAAUGUUGUCUCUAACUCUUCAUCGCUUUGCUUAAAAAUGCACUACUUUUGGAGGAUUAAGAGUACGAAUAAAGCAGCUUCCAAUUAUUCCCUCGAUUUCCAAGAGGAUUAUAGAAGAAAAAAAGAGAGAAUUUUUCUGAUUGUCUUUAUAGAGUUGAAGUCAUAAGCUAUUAUGGUGAAAACAGAAGGAUGUAUCUCCAGUUUUACAUCAACGACAAUGGUGACAAAGUUUACACCACUAAG